AUAAUAAUACUUGAAUGAAUCAUUGGACAUAUAGAAUUUAAUAACAAUUUAAUAUAUAGAAAUAAGUCAGUUUUUGUCCCAAUUAUCAUUUUAAUGGCACCUUCAAGGCAAUGUUCACAGAACAACUGAAUAAUCUGCUGAUGGGGAGACAAAAUCUAUUUGUUGACAUUUUUGUUUAGUACGUCUGCUUCAGAUGACACCAUUCAUUUGUAAUGACUAAGAUUGUACUCAGCCAGAACUGCAAAACUAUAUAAUAGGAAAGAAUUUGUGAGCACUAUCGAAAAAUAUAGUAUACCCUGAAAUGUAGUGACACAGGCACACAACCAGGGUGAAUAUAUGAAUGUAGGCCGGUAGGAUUAUUUCAUAUUUAUGC